CUGAUCGGGAAAUCAGGAGAAUGGUCUAAUUUGGCUUUUGUGUGUGUGUGUGUGUGUGUGUCUGCAUAACAUGUUCCAGGGUAUGUUGAAAUCUACUUAAGAAAAUGGGAACGUAAGGGAACACCUGGAACAUGCUUUCUAAGUAGAGGUGAUGCUGUAAAGACCAAAAUAUAUACAAAAUACAGAUUGGGGAACAGCGUGCACACAACAAAUAUCAUUUUAC